UCGUCCUGGCUUAUGCUUUUUUCUGCUCCCCUGUGCUCAGGUCUAACAGGGGAGUCGGUAGCAUGACGCACAGGAAAUCUUCCCUCUCAGUUUAUGAGGGCCAUCCUAAGAAUAGGACUGGCUCUUAUAGGCACGAGACGACAGU
rnacentral:snoRNA from 15 species